rnacentral:lncRNA from 1 species
GGUUUUUCUCUAUGAACCUGAAGAACUCGCCUUGCAGAUAGGAGGAAGGCAAAAGAAGAGAGAAAUCUUCAUCCUUCUGCUCAUUGGAUUAGGCCUUGCUGUCUCACUGGGUGCAACAGGAACCACUGGAGCAGCCCUUGUCCAAACACAACAUCUGGCCAGCAAUUUCCAGGACAAGCUUGACCAGCUGCGCAAGAAUCACUUCGUCAUCUGAGAGCUUCUGUCCUAAGAGCUGUCACACUGCCACUUGGGGAAGAGAUCUGCUCUCCCAAAAUCGCUGCCAGAAGCUCCCCUGCAUCCUUUGCCGGCUGCUCCAUCUCCUGAAACAGAAGCGGAACAACACCUACCCGAGUUCUCCUCCUUUCUCCUGGACCCACCAACCUAGCCAGACCAGAGAUCUCUGUGGAAAACCGCCGACACAGAGGCCCACAGAUGGAUUCCCAUCUUUCUGAGGAACUGCCACACUGAUUUCCACGGUGGCUGUGCAGGUUUGCAUCUCCAUCAGAAAUGGAUGAGUGGUCCCCUUCCUCUGCUUCCGUGGCAGCACGCACCAUCAUCUGUUUUAUUGAUCUUGGCCAUCUGGCUGGUAUGUGCACAGCUCUCAGUCCUCCCCAGAGAAGUUCCUCUUCACAAUGGUUCCUGUAGAGAUUCAUCAAAGCAGAGACUAAGUGACCUCGAGGUGCUCAGUCCUAAGAGGGACAAGUGUACCGCCCUCUCCAACGUUCAGAGAUCAUUAGGGUAGAGUGGGUGGAAAGAUCCAAAGAGUCAGAGUUUGUCAAAGGGGUACUGCUGUGAUAGUGUCUACUGGACAUAGCACCCUGCAUUCACUCAUGACCUCACUACGGCUGUGCUUGCCUGCACAAGACUGUGCCAUCAACAUUUCAGCACGGAAUGGACAAGGGCUCAUGAGGCUUAUCCUUCUGUGGGGGGUUAUCGGUUAGGAGAAAGGCAGUCACUUUCCUCAUUAUCUUAAAUACAGAAAAAACAACAGGCAUGUCCACGGAGCC